AAAAGGGUGCAGAACUUGCUAAUUCAUGGUGUUUUAUGUUAAUUCAGGUAAAAUGGCUAAAAUAUGUGUUGACUCUUAUUGUGAAAGGGCACGCUGCAGCGUGACUCCUGUGAUAGCCACACCCAAUCGGGUUGUUCCUUCUUUUUGAUGCUGGAGAGAGAGAAAUGCAGACAGUCCUUGCAGAGCUGCUGCUUAAAUGAGUGAAAAAAUAGUAAAAACAAGCCAGAAAUCUACAUAAAGCCAUUUUUGUACUCUGGAGAAUGUAUUUUUGUUUUUCCAACCUGUCCUUGCCUUGGUGACGUUGUAAACAUAACCGAACAGGACUUGGCCAUUAAGGUUUGGAUCGGGAAAUGCCGAGCUAGAAUCGGAGUUUGAUCCGCUGAGCGAGAAACAAGAUGGCGAGCCACCCACGGACCCAUUGAACUGUACCGAGCA